AUGGCUGCAGCCCGUCUGUGCAAUCAGCCUUGGCUUUUCCUUCCUCUUACAGCGUGUCAGAGCCGCUGGGACCUCAGCCCCCUGCACCUGGUGCCCUUCCACGCUACAGGAAGGCCGUGUUUGUGGAGUUCCCCGAUGCCUCCUUCUCACAGCCCAAGCCCAAGCCGGCAUGGAUGGGUCUCCUGGGCCCCACCAUCCGAGCAGAAGUCUAUGACACGGUGGUCAUCACCUUCAAGAACCUGGCCUCCCGCCCGUACAACCUCCACGCCAUUGGGGUGUCCUACUGGAAGGCGUCAGAGGGUGAGUGGGGCCACGGCCACACGCUGCGAGUCCCUGUGCUAUGCCUCCUGCUCCCAGGAGGAGGCAUGUCCCUCCCCGACCCUGGUGUCAGCUCACUGAGGGGCUUGGGGUGGGGAGGAGGCAUUUCUGUAUCCACCAUGUGCUGGGGAUAAAGCUUCAGUGAAAUCAGGCUGUUCCUCUGGCUGCAGGUGCAGGGUACGAGGAUGAGACCAGCCAGCUGGAGAAGGAGGGCGACAGGGUGGAUCCGGGGAAGACACACACCUACGUCUGGGAAAUCCAGCAAAACCAGGGCCCCACAGAUGGCGACUCACCGUGCCUGACCCACUCCUACUCCUCCAACAUCGACAGCGUGAAGGACACCAACUCCGGUUUGAUUGGAGCCCUGCUCGUGUGCCGGCCCGGUAAGAGCAACCCAGGAUGGGGACAUUUCAGGUGAAGUCAUGGGCUGAGAGGCAGAGGAAUCAAAGACACCUCCCAGAGGCUCACCAUGGCAGUGGGGUCAGUGAGCUGUGGUCAACAGCAGCACUUUUGGGGUUUGGCCCUUUCCCCAAAGAGUUCCUUCCCAGUGUGGGAGGCAAACACCCCUGGAUUUCCCUGCAGGAGAGAGAACUUGGUUAAUUUUUGCCUUUGCAGAAUUUCAGACAACGAAUGAAAUCCUUUUCCUUGUAGCUGAAGCUUAUCUAUUGAUAAGGUGAAUUUCUGUGGAAGCAUAAACGUCUUCCUGCAGAGCUUCACUAAGCUGCAAUCAUUCAGUGUCUGCCAGGGCACUUUGCCAAACAGGAUUUUGUUAGAAGACAUAAAGGAAAGUUUUUUUUAUGAGCAAGGGCAGAGACAGGACACCUGGGGCACUGCCUCACCCACGGUACCUGUGCCUUCCCUCUUCCUUUGGUGGACGUGGAGAUGAGGAAACCUUGACUGCUAACCACCUCCGGGGUGCACGGCAUCAAGAAGUGAACCCGGGGCAGGACUGGUCUCCCCUGGCUGAGCCGUCUCCUGGAGGUGGUUGUCCAGCCCCCGGUGGAGUCACCGGAGAGGAAUGGGCACCUGU
rnacentral:lncRNA from 1 species